UGUGAUAUCUGGCUGCGACAUCUGUCACCCCAUUGAUUGCCAGGAUUGAUUUGGCUGAUCUGGCUGGCUAGUCGGGUGUCCCCUUAUUUUUUCACCGCUCCACAUGUGUCCCUCCCUGAGCUGCACACUCAGUAGAAGAGUUCAGCCUUUUCGGAAUACAGACUGACUAGUCUUUGGUCGAGGGUAUGAGUAGCUGCGCACCCCUGCUAGAACCUCCAAACAAGUCAUAACAAUUUAAAACAAAAAAUUGGAGAGAAGAACUGAAAAAACACUUCUUCACAGAAGAUGAGAAUAGCUAUAUGCAGAACUGAUCACUUAUUGU
rnacentral:snRNA from 1 species